UACGGAGGGUGCGAGCGUUGCUCGGAAUCACUGGGCGUAAAGGGUGCGUAGGCGGGUCUUUAAGUCAGGGGUGAAAUCCUGGAGCUCAACUCCAGAACUGCCUUUGAUACUGAAGAUCUUGAGUUCGGGAGAGGUGAGUGGAACUGCGAGUGUAGCGGUGAAAUGCGUAGAUAUUGGGAGGAACACCGGUGGCGAAGGCGGCCCCCUGGACCGGUACUGACGCUGAGGCGCGAAAGCGUGGGUAGCAAACGGG
rnacentral:rRNA from 1 species